CACAGUUUGGAAACCCCUUCACAGGCGAUCUAAACGACUAGGUUCGCUAGGUAGGUGCUGUAACGGAUUACUAGGGCUCCAAGGUUAUAACCGAGACGGUAGUUGUGGAACCA